rnacentral:rRNA from 1 species
GAUGAACGCUAGCGGCAGGCUUAAUACAUGCAAGUCGUGGGGCAGCAGGGGUGUAGCAAUACAUCUGCUGGCGACCGGCAAACGGGUGCGUAACACGUACGCAACCUUCCCGUUACUGUGGCAUAGCCCAGGGAAACUUGGAUUAAUACCACAUAUUAUAUUGAUGAGGCAUCUCAUUGAUAUCAAAGCUUCGGCGGUAACGGAUGGGCGUGCGGUUGAUUAGGUAGUUGGCGGGGUAACGGCCCACCAAGCCUACGAUCAAUAGCUGAUGUGAGAGCAUGAUCAGCCACACGGGCACGGAGACACGGGCCCGACUCCUACGGGAGGCAGCAGUAAGGAAUAUUGGGCAAUGGACGAAAGUCUGACCCAGCCAUGCCGCGUGAAGGAUUAAGGUCCUCUGGAUUGUAAACUUCUUUUCUCUGGGGCGAAAACCAGCUAUUCUUAGCUAUUUGACAGUACCAGAGGAAUAAGCACCGGCUAACUCCGUGCCAGCCGCCGCGGUAACAC